rnacentral:lncRNA from 1 species
GAUAUUCCCACUAACUAGAGCACUCGCUAGUCCCUGCUUGGAGCUCAGUGUACCCCAGGCAGUUCUUUCUCUUAUGUAAUUUAACGCACUCAACUGUAUGAUGUCAGUUUCACAGGUAAGAAAACUCAGGCUUGGGUAGGUUAACAGAUGUCUCCACUGGCUGUCAACCAAACAUACCACGGAGACAAAACAGGCUAAGGCUGUUUUCAGAGCCUUGGACUUAGCCACUACUAACUACCCUUCAAUAAGAAUCUCUUCCGCUCCCUUUGUCCUGUGACUCAUAUUCCCGGGUCUAGGGCUUGAGCUGUGGCCCCCAGUAUAAAGGUAUAAUUCCAGCUACUCCAGAGUGGAAGGAACUGGAUUGCAGUUUGCAGGUCACACUGGAGAUGGAUGGUGAUGUAACAACAAAAGCUGACCUGGGAGAUGUUCAUGCUAACCCAGGUAAAUGAGGCAAAUGAACAGCUGAGCCUUGCUGGAGAGCCACAAGGCAGCUGGGCCUCCCAGAUAAGUAAUGUGGAUGAGUCAGGGAGUCGCCCACAGCCAGGAAACUUACUUGUCUCACCAAACCAGCCAGGUAGGUAAGUUUCCCUCCAAUUUCAGUGAGCCAAACUUCCUUUGCUGUAAGGCCCCUCUUCUCUAAGCUCUCUCUCUCUCUCUCUCUCUCUCUCUCUCUCUCUCUCUCUCUCUCUCUCUCUCUCUCUUUUAGUAGGGGGAUACAAACCAGAAAGAAUGUAUUUCUUUUUCUUACUACUUCUUGGUUAGUAUAUGAAGAGACAGGUUCCGCUGAGACAUUUCAUAUGUAUACUUAUAUCAUUAUGUACUGUUAUUAUAUCCCACCCGCUGCCACCUCCCAUUCUUCUCUUGGUUGACAUUUUUUUCUUUCCUUAUGUUUAUGUACAUGAAUGUUCUUGCUAUAUAUGUAUGUCUGUGUACCAAAUAUGGACCUGUUGCCUGCCGAGUCCCUAAGAGCACACUGGACCCCUAAGGACUGGAGUUACAGAUGGAUGUCACCAGCCAAAUUUGGCUUCUCAGAGCCUAUGUGACUCAUGUUCACAAAGCGUUUCCAACCUCUCCUUCCGAUGCCUGGCUUCACCUGGGAAGAGGAAACAUUAGCCAGGACUGGGCUAAGCCUGGAGAUCCGAUGGAGAUGUAUACUCACCGGACCAGGACAUCCUCCAAGGAUUAACAAGGAGGGGAUUAGCCUGCCUAUCCAGCCACACCACCACUGUGGGACUAUGAAAGGCAGCCUGUUCUCUGGUCGAGCCAGACUUACUCCGGAGACCCAGUAGAAACUCUACAAGGGAUGCAACAGUGAGCCAUGCUCGCAGACAGACAUAGGCGCCUGACACCACAGAGCCCCCAGUUCCAUAAUCCUGUGACUGAGAGUCACGUCCCCAAACUCCUGGUAUUCUGGCUAGACUCCACCCCCACAGUUAACCUGGCAAUAGCUAGGUAUGUUCCUCCCCACAGCUACCCUGCAACUGCAAGAUAGCCCAGCCCACUAUAAAAGGGGCUGCUUGGCCCCUCCUCUCUCUCUUAAGCUCUCACCUCUCUUGGUCUCAUCUCUAGCUCUCCUCCCCCUCCCUUCCCCGCUCUCUCCACGUGGCCAUGGCUAGCCUCUCUCCUUCCACCUUCUCUCUUUCUCUCUGCCUUUCUACAAUAAAGCUCUAAUACCA